UGUUUGCUCUAAUCCUUCUGGCAAGUAGUUUCCUCACACACAUGCGCUGAGCACUCACUGCUUUGCUCAGGCUCUCUCUCCCUCUGCCUCUCUCCCACCUCCAGAUCUCUGGAGCGCUCACAGUGCAGCCCACUCCUCUCCGGUGCUCUGUCCCUAGAAUGCCAGCUGCCAUGGUCACCCCAGACCCUCAGCUCCAUCUCUUUGCCUCAGGGCAUCUGUCAGGCUCUGCUGCAGUGCCUCUUCUUGGGCUGCAGCUCAGAAGCUCUCCAGGCAGACAGCUAGGACAGUGUAGGGCACAGGGAGCAGUGUAAAUCAGGUCCUUAUUACUACUUGUCGGCCAGGGCCAGAAGCAUCCCGAGAUGCUCAGCAAACAUCUAAGUGGAAAUGUUGAGAAGAUGGCUAGACAGGCUUAUCUGGAAUUCAGGGAAGAAGUCCAGACUGGGAGAACAGAUUUGGAAGUCUUCAGCAGAUCCAUAAGCAUGGCUGAGAUCACCACCGAGUGUGGAUCUGAGAGAAGACCAAAGACCAAGCCGCAGAUCACUUCGAAGUUUAGAAGGUGGUGAGCUGAGGAGGGCCCUGGAGAGAAGACUGAGACAGAGUGACCAACGAAACAGGAGAAACAAGAGGCUGUGACGGCAAAAAGCCUAAGGAGGAAAGUGCACAGAGAUGAGUGGAACCACAUUGGAGGUGUCUGAUUGGUCAGGUAUAAAUUGCGGUUUGGAAGACUAAUGUUAAAAAUUAUCUGAAUGGUAAGAAUUAAUGCUUAUUUAUUUUGUUUACCGGUAUUUUCUACAGUGUCUAGUUUACUUCUAUAAUUUAAAUAAUGUUUUUAUUUGAGAGCAAGUGAGCAGGAGAGCACAAGGAGGGGGAACAGCAGAGGGAGAGGAAAAAGCAGACUCCCCACUGAGCAGACCCCAGGACCCCGGGAUCAUGACCUGAGCCGAAGGCAGAUGCUUCACCAACUGAGCCACUGAGGUGCCCGUAUUUAUUGUAGUUUUAUGGUUUUAUUAACACAAAUAUGAUGUGCACAUAAGCCGUCUGUUCAUUUUCUUCGCUGUGCAGCGUGGUAUUGGAUGGGGACUCUGAUGGCCAGCUGGGCUGCUCUUCCCACAGUGGCUUUGUGGUUCUUGGAGGAGACGCUGUGAACAAUCUCUGCACAGUGAGAUCUGUUGCAAAGAGCAGCACCUCAAGCUCCUGGACGCUGUGGACUGGCAACUUCCAGAAGCCACCGAGCAGCACGGGCUUUGUUUCCCUGUUGCUCCCGUAACCAGUGUUGGGCAUCAAGAUGUGGCCCCUGAAUCUUCUGCGCACCCUAUUGUCAGUGCCCUGGGUUGCUGCCGUUGCACUUCAUUGCGACAUGUGGAUGUCUGAUUAUUGCGGAUGAACCACUUGGUCCUCUUUUUAGCCAUCCUGGGCUUCACCAGAGGUCUGAGGGCGGCCGUGACGCCCAGUAACAGAUGGCUGCCCCCUCCGCAGGCAGCCCCGAGGAAGAGAGGGGCCAAGAAGUUAUUUUUAAAUAGCAUUUGGCAUGAAAAUAAGCAAUGGAGGGAGGGGUGCCUGGCUGGCUCAGUGGGAGGAAUAUGCAAUUCUUGAGUUGGGGGUUGUGAGUUCGAGUCCCACGUUGGGUCCAGAGAUUACUUAAAAAUGAAAUCUUAAAAAAAAUUGAGGGAAACUGCUAACAAAUUAAAUGCUUAAUAAAAGAGGAUUGGCUGAUGAAGUCAGUUCAUGGAGUUAUUACGUACAGUGAAUGAAUUCAGUAAACACGUGCGGGCACUGUUUUGAGCACUAGGGAGCUCUGUGGCCAUUCUGUGUUGUCCGUGUGAAAAGGAGAGGGAGUGGUGUGAGAAAGAAGGACGGUCUUGGGCUGGGCAGGUGGCAGGUGCCCUGUCUCUUGCCGCUGGGAGCCUCCUCUCUUGGGUCCCCCCUGGAGGCCUCUGACUUGCGCGCGCCCCUAGCGGCUGGCCGAGCGCCUGCUGCAAGGUCUUCCCGGGGCGCGGGUUCCUGGCACUGGCUCAGCUGCACCCCCGUCAUUCUUUCCAGAGCCUUCCGGGACCCAGCCCAGCCGGUGACAGCCCAGCGCCUUCCAGGCUGAAAAGGGGGCCGGGAAAGGCGCCCCAGGCACCGGGAGCCGCCUGGGUUGGCAUCUGUCCGAUUUACUUCUUAAUCCAGAAAAUCACUUCCAGUUGUGUGUGACCUUCUCCCUGGGCCAGGACCUGACAACUACAGGGGGAGGGGCAGAGGGAGAGAAUCUCUGAGCGCAGAGCCCCAGGAGAAGCAGAGGCUGUCUCAUGACCUUGAGCUCAUGACCUGAGCUGACAUCAGGAGUCGGGGGCCCUCAGCCAAGGGAGCCACCAAGGCGCCCCUGGAAAGCAGGCAAGACCCAGAGCCGCCCCUGAACCCCACCAGCUGUGGAGAACCAGAGCACAGGACAGGGGCUCCCCAACUGGGUCUCCAUCUGGUGGCUUCCCGAAGGGAUCAGUCCUGGGAGGCUGCUGCGUCGGGCACCCCACGGGGGCAGAGGUGGCCCAGGACGGCUUGGUCUGGAGGAUGAACAGAGGGAAGCCUGCCCGGACUUAUGACACCUGGAGUUGUAAACACCCGUUGUGACCUGCCUGGACCCACACACGGCUGGAGGUGACCACCUCUCCCUGCCCUCGCCCUCCUCGGACUCCCAGUUCCUGAGUUUUCCACUCUGGGGGACCAAGAGAGCAGCCCCGGUGAGUGGGAGAUUGGAGGUCUGGGGGGUCAGAGGGCCCUGGCUUCAAGCCCUGGCUCCGGCACCCACAUUUGGGGACAUUUGAGCAUAAGCUGCUGGGCAUGAGCUGUCGCCUCUCCGUGCCUCAGUCUCUGUAUCUGCAAAAUGGACAGGAGCUCCGGUGCAGGUGCAGGCCAGCAGAGCACAGGGAAGUCCGUGAGCGUCGGGGGGCUCUGUUCCUUCUUGGCCUGGCGUGCAGCCACCCCCCCGGCCCCCCCAGCUCGCAGCAGCCCGGCUCUGCAGUCCCGUCCGUCCCUUUAACAUUGUCUCGAGUCCUCUCUCAGCCAGGACGGGAUGUUUCCCUUCUGCCUCUCUCCUCGCUCUCCUAUUCCCGUGGUGGGUCCCAGCGCUUUCCUUACCCUGCAGCUCAGGUGUGCUGCACAAGCGGCCGCCGGCGGAGGGCUGUUCAGGGGUUGGCGGAGGGGGGCUCUUGUGGGCCGAGCGGGUCCCUGCCCCCGGUCAGUCCCGGGGGAAGUUCGAACCCUCAGUGAAACUCAGAAUGUGACACUAUUUGGAGACAGGGUCGUUAAGGAGGUGGUGAGGGUGGAAUGAGGUCACCGGGGUGGGCCCCAAUGUCGUGUGGCCGGGGCCCUCGUAAGAAGAGGAGACGGGACGCAGACACACACAGCGGGAGGACCACGUGAGGACACAGGGGCAGACGGCCAUCCUCAGGCCAAGGACAGAGGCCUGUGGAGAAACCAAGCCUGAUGACACCUUGACCUUGGACUUCAGCCGCCAGGACUGAGAGGGACAGCGCCCUGUCUGCUGUCCAGGUGGCGGUUCCGCGAUCCGAGAGGACAGCAACCUCGCGGGUCGGCGUGGCCCCCCCAAGACCAGGCCAAAGCCAGAUCCCAGGCCACCUCCAACGACGCCUUGAAAGGGACGGAGGUCUUUCCUAAGUGUGUUCUCUGUGGAGCCGGAGAGAAAGCAUCCUGAAGCCUCUUUCCUCGCACCCUCUCGAGCCCCGAUGACUGCGUGUCGUCCUCCUGCACGCGAGCUCCCUCGCCGCUCCCCAGACACACGCGCCAGGCCUCUGGCCACCAGCCUCCCCCUCGGAGCUGCGGCAGCACCCGGGGCCGGGGCCAGGGCGCGUGACCCCCAGGCCAUCCUGCCAACUACGGAAAACCGUGCAGGAGACAGAGAAGGAGAAGCCGGUUAAAGUCACGCGGUGGGUCGGGCCGGUCGUUCCCAGCAGCCCGCGUCCCCGUUGUGGUCUCGCGUGGCUCUCCCUGCCACAGAGUCCCGUCCCCGCGGUCGUGCUGUGGCCUGGUCACCGCUCCUGGGGGUCCUACCGCACGACCUUCCCCAGGUGGGAGGGCCCGGGGAGGUGCUCACACAUGCACUCACCCCCACUCACCCCCACCCCACACUCACCUGUACACACUCACCCACACCC